CCUACGGGAGGCAGCAGUGGGGAAUCUUAGACAAUGGGGGCAACCCUGAUCUAGCCAUGCCGCGUGAGUGAUGAAGGCCUUAGGGUCGUAAAGCUCUUUCGCCUGUGAUGAUAAUGACAGUAGCAGGUAAAGAAACCCCGGCUAACUCCGUGCCAGCAGCCGCGGUAAUACGGAGGGGGUUAGCGUUGUUCGGAAUUACUGGGCGUAAAGCGCGCGUAGGCGGAUUAGAAAGUUGGGGGUGAAAUCCCGGGGCUCAACCCCGGAACUGCCUCCAAAACUGCUAGUCUAGAGUUCGAGAGAGGUGAGUGGAAUUCCGAGUGUAGAGGUGAAAUUCGUAGAUAUUCGGAGGAACACCAGUGGCGAAGGCGGCUCACUGGCUCGAUACUGACGCUGAGGUGCGAAAGUGUGGGGAGCAAACAGGAUUAGAUACCCUGGUAGUCUACACCGUAAACGAUGAAUGCCAGUCGUCGGAUAGUAUACUAUUCGGUGACACACCUAACGGAUUAAGCAUUCCGCCUGGGGAGUACGGUCGCAAGAUUAAAACUCAAAGGAAUUGA
rnacentral:rRNA from 1 species